UAGCCUUGACAUACUACAGAAUUUGACCCAUAUGUUGAAGUGCCUUCGGGAGCUGUAAUACAGGUGCUGCACGGCUGUCGUCAGCUCGUGUCGUGAGAUGUUGGGUUAAGUCCCGCAACGAGCGCAACCCUCGUCCUUAGUUACUAACGGUUUGGCCGAGGACUCUAAGGAGACUGCCUUCGUAAGGAGGAGGAAGGUGAGGACGACGUCAAGUCAUCAUGGCCCUUACGGCUAGGGCAACACACGUGCUACAAUGGUUAGGACAAUGAGAAGCAAUAUCGCGAGGUGGAGCAAAUCUAUAAACCUAAUCUCAGUUCGGAUUGUAGUCUGCAACUCGACUACAUGAAGCUGGAAUCACUAGUAAUCGUAGAUCAGCUAUGCUACGGUGAAUACGUUCCCGGGUCU
rnacentral:rRNA from 1 species